rnacentral:rRNA from 1 species
CCUACGGGUGGCAGCAGUGAGGAAUAUUGGUCAAUGGGCGCGAGCCUGAACCAGCCAAGUCGCGUGAGGGAUGAAGGUUCUAUGGAUCGUAAACCUCUUUUAUAAGGGAAUAAAGUGUGGGACGUGUCCGAUUUUGUAUGUACCUUAUGAAUAAGGAUCGGCUAACUCCGUGCCAGCAGCCGCGGUAAGACGGAGGAUCCGAGCGUUAUCCGGAUUUAUUGGGUUUAAAGGGUGCGUAGGCGGCCUUUUAAGUCAGCGGUGAACGUCGGUGGCUCAACCAUAGAAUUGCCGUUGAAACUGGGGGGCUUGAUUAUGUUUGCGGCAGGCGGAAUGCUUGGUGUAGCGGUGCCAUGCUU